GACGUGCCGUAGCAGACUGGGGAGGGAAACAACGUCCUGAACGGAUGGACGGGCCGUGUGCUGGACUGGCUUGCUGAUCUUCUUUUCCCUCGGCGUUGUUGCUGACUGGAUCUCCUGUGCCCUGGUGGAGCCGACUCCCAGACUCUGCAGUGUCAACGCUCACAAAACCCCGAUUAAAGGGAAGUGCUCCUUUUCUCCCACACUGAUGCGUGUGUAUGCUUUUAGCAUUUGAGGUAAAGGAGUCGUUUUUAGUUGUGGUUCAUUUCUGUGAAGGUGCCAGAUCCAGGGGCCGACGACAGAGCAGCAGAUACGGCAGUAUUGUUGACGAGUCCACAUGAAGUACAGGAAAGGAAAGUCGUCACUCUAGUCCUCCGAGACUGUUUUAAAGUUGCCGGGCUAAGAGUAGGCUACCCAUUGAUUUUACAUUUCUCCACUGACAGAAGCAGAACGGCACCACGAAAUUCCUGGUCCCGGAUCUCUGGAUUGGAAUAGGUUAUUCGAAGCCCCGCUGAAGCAAGGCAUUCCGUGCCGGGGACAGGGGAAACACGGAGCUGACUCCAGGCUGGACUGGACUCGGGUAUUGUUUCACCCUGGGACAGAACAUUGGACGAUCCAUGGUUUUAUGGUCUCCCGGGUUUUUAUUUGAGAUUGUGAUUUUGAUGUCAG